rnacentral:lncRNA from 1 species
AUGUUGCAGAGGAUUGCAGCAUCUGGUCUGUGUUAGGUGGGAUGACCCUAGCAAGACCCCUGGAGGUGAUGAUUCCCUGCCACCCAAGUUAAUGACCUGGAGGUGAUGUUCCAGGAGGCGAUGACUCCUGGAGAUGAUGACUCCCUGCCACCCAAGUUAAUGACCUGGAGGUGAUGUUCCAGGAGGUGAUGACUCCUGAAGGUGAUGCCUCCAUCUCUCAGAGUUGAUAUCCUCUGCAGUGAUGCCUCCUGGAGUUGAUGUUCCUUACAGGUGAUGUCACCCUGGAGGUGAUGUCCAUUAGAGGUGAUGUUCCUUGGAGAUGAUGUCCCUUGGAGAUGAUGUCCCCUUGGAGAUGAUGUCCUUGAAAAUGAUGUUCCUUAGAGAUGAUUCCACCUGGAGGUGAUGCCCCCUGGAGGCGAUGUUCAUUAGAGGGAAUGUCCCCCCAGAGGUGAUGUCCACUGGAAGUGCUGUUCCUUGGAGAUGAUUCCC